rnacentral:rRNA from 1 species
CGGUGUCGCAUGACACAGUGUGAAAAACUCCGGUGGUAUGAGAUGGGCCCGCGUCAGAUUAGCUAGUUGGUGAGGUAACGGCUCACCAAGGCGACGAUCUGUAGCCGGACUGAGAGGUCGGACGGCCACAUUGGGACUGAGACACGGCCCAAACUCCUACGGGAGGCAGCAGUGGGGGAUAUUGCACAAUGGAGGAAACUCUGAUGCAGCGACGCCGCGUGAGUGAAGAAGUAUUUCGGUAUGUAAAGCUCUAUCAGCAGGGAAGAUAGACUCGAAAGAGAGAUGACGGUACCUGAGUAAGAAGCCCCGGCUAACUACGUGCCAGCAGCCGCGGUAAUACGUAGGGGGCAAGCGUUAUCCGGAUUUACUGGGUGUAAAGGGAGCGCAGACGGUCAAGCAAGUCUGAAGUGAAACCCCACGGCUCAACCGUGGGCUUGCUUUGGAAACUGUUUGACUAGAGUACUGGAGAGGUAAGCGGAAUUCCUAGUGUAGCGGUGAAAUGCGUAGAUAUUAGGAGGAACAUCGGUGGCGAAGGCGGCUUACUGGACAGCAACUGACGUUGAGGCUCGAAGGCGUGGGG